rnacentral:lncRNA from 1 species
GGCAACUUGUUCGGGUAUCCUUCCCCAGUGUGGAAGCUUUAGUUCUUUUGCUCUUUGCAAUGAAUCUUGCUGCUGCUCACUCUUUGGGUCCACGCUGCGUUUACACUGUGUUUAUGAGCUGUAACACUCACCACAAAGGUCUGCAGCUUCACUCCUGAAGCCAGCAAAGACCACGAACCCACCAGGAAGAAGGAACAACUCCAGACACGCAGCCUUAAGAGCUGUAACACUCACUGCCAAGGUCUUCAGCUUCACUCCUGAGCCAGCCAGACCAUGAACCCACCAGAAGGAAAAAACUCGGAACACAUCCCAACAUCAGAAGGAACAAACUCUGGACAUGCCGCCUUUAAGAACUGUAACAACGCAAGGGUCCGCGGCUUUAUUCUUGAAGUCAGUAAGACCAAGAACCCAAUUCCGGACACGUUUGGACCCAGAUGGAAAGGCAGCUCAACAUCUGAGAAGCCAGUCUUACUCCCUGCAGGCAACAGCUGCUUCCAGAAAACAGCCCUAUUACUUCACCAAAGUACAGUUCCUACAGGAAGAUAAUGAUCUGACCUAACCUACUAUUGGCUGAAGGAAGGAGAAAAGCAGCUGAAGAUGUCUGUUGAGUGAUUACCCUCAUAAUCCGUGACUAAGAACAUCCAAAUCAGCAUGGCUUCUUCCUGUCUGAAAUUAUUACUACUUAGGGUUUUUCACGUGUUAUUUCAUUUAUUGAUUAUUCUGUUUUAAACUUGCAAGACGUAUUGUCUCUUCAGAAAUAAAACUUUAUCACUUGCUUCAUCAAUUCAAUUAAUUUCACAAUGCAUUGAUUAAACUCCUACGUAAGCAUUUCAGCAUUUUAAAACAUUUUUAAAAAGGUAAAAUCAGGACUGUCAUGUGAAUGAUAUGCCAAAGGUUUUA